GAUGAACGCUGGCGGCGUGCCUAAUACAUGCAAGUCGAGCGAACGGACGAGAAGCUUGCUUCUCUGAUGUUAGCGGCGGACGGGUGAGUAACACGUGGAUAACCUACCUAUAAGACUGGGAUAACUUCGGGAAACCGGAGCUAAUACCGGAUGAUAUUUUGAACCGCAUGGUUCAAAAGUGAAAGACGGUCUUGCUGUCACUUAUAGAUGGAUCCGCGCUGCAUUAGCUAGUUGGUAAGGUAACGGCUUACCAAGGCAACGAUGCAUAGCCGACCUGAGAGGGUGAUCGGCCACACUGGAACUGAGACACGGUCCAGACUCCUACGGGAGGCAGCAGUAGGGAAUCUUCCGCAAUGGGCGAAAGCCUGACGGAGCAACGCCGCGUGAGUGAUGGUCUUCGGAUCGUAAAACUCUGUUAUUAGGGAAGAACAUAUGUGUAAGUAACUGUGCACAUCUUGACGGUACCUAAUCAGAAAGCCACGGCUAACUACGUG
rnacentral:rRNA from 1 species